rnacentral:tRNA from 1 species
ACCUGAGUGGCUCAGUCGGUUGAGCAUCUGACUUCGGAUCAGGUCAUGAUCUCAUGGUUUGUGAGUUCGAGCCCCACAUCGGGCU